GACGGGGCCCGGCACAAGCAGCGGAGCAUGUGGUUUAAUUCGAAGCAACGCGAAGAACCUUACCAAGACUUGACAUCCCCUGACAGCUGUUGAAAGGCAGUGUCUCUUCGGAGCAGGGAGACAGGUGGUGCAUGGUUGUCGUCAGCUCGUGUCGUGAGAUGUUGGGUUAAGUCCCGCAACGAGCGCAACCCUUAUCCUUAGUUACCAGCACGUAAAGGUGGGGACUCUAGGGAGACCGCCGGGGACGACUCGGAGGAAGGUGGGGACGACGUCAAAUCAUCAUGCCCCUUAUGUCUUGGGCUACACACGUGCCACAAUGGCCGCAACAGAGGGAAGCGAGAGCGCAAGCUGGAGCAAAACCCUAAAAAGCGGUCCCAGUUCGGAUUGUGGGCUGCAACCCGCCCACAUGAAGUCGGAGUUGCUAGUAAUCGCGAAUCAGCAUGUCGCGGUGAAUGCGUUCCCGGGCCUU
rnacentral:rRNA from 1 species